GAUUGAGGGCUGCAACCCGCCCUCAUGAAGUCGGAGUUGCUAGUAAUCGCGGAUCAGCAUGCCGCGGUGAAUACGUUCCCGGGCCUUGUACACACCGCCCGUCACACCAUGGGAGUUGGGAGCACCCGAAGCCGGUGAGGUAACCGAAAGGAGCCAGCCGUCGAAGGUGAGACCAAUGACUGGGGUGAAGUCGUAACAAGGUAGC
rnacentral:rRNA from 1 species